rnacentral:rRNA from 1 species
UACGAAGGGGGCUAGCGUUGUUCGGAAUUACUGGGCGUAAAGGGCGCGUAGGCGGCUUCGAUAGUCGGGUGUGAAAUGCCUGGGCUCAACCCAGGAACUGCACUCGAAACUCCGAGGCUAGAGUGUGGGAGAGGAUAGUGGAAUUCCCAGUGUAGAGGUGAAAUUCGUAGAUAUUGGGAAGAACACCGGUGGCGAAGGCGGCUAUCUGGACCACAACUGACGCUGAGGCGCGAAAAGCGUGGGGGAGCAAACAGG